GCACCUGCAAAAUCAGGUGCCGGGAUUGGUCUCCUGAAAUAUACCUUACUGGCGGCAUAGGACGCGCUCGCGUCUUUUUU
rnacentral:sRNA from 1 species